GUACCUUCAAGCUUUGCUUGGUGUUGGGCGUCUUUUUGUCUUUGGCCUCGCCCAAAGACUCGCCUUAAAACGAUUGGCAGCCGGCCUACUGGUUUCGCAGCGCAGCACAUUUUUGCGCUUGCAAUCAGCAAAAAGGACGGCAAUCCAUCAAGACUACAUUUUUAC
rnacentral:misc_RNA from 1 species